rnacentral:lncRNA from 1 species
AUUUUUAUACAUGUCUUAUAGCAGCUAACAACAACAUCCAAUGGUCACAGUUACAUGCUAUGGAGUUUCAGGCGACUCCAGGUGAUCAUAUACAAUGCAACAGUUAUAAGACUAGGACUUAAAUAACGACAUAGCACAAAGGUGUGAACAUAUAUGUAUGAACAUUAUUACAAUCUGUGGCGUCAACACAUAGAGUCUAAUAGCCACAUCUAAUUUUCUAUAAUACUUGCCCCAACUUCUUGCUCAUUAUAAUUUUUUUCCACUUCAACUCUGUCAAAGAUGAAUGAUUAGUUCAAUUAAAUAUUUUUCUUCCAGAAACAGUCCUAAUUGUACUCGUUAUAAGCAACUUUACACUUAAAAUAUCUGAAGCAAGGCAUCUACAUAUUUCACAUGUAGUAAUUACCAUGGACAAAUGUCACUUUGAAGAUUAAAAUAAUUAUAGAAGUACAUUAGUCUCCAAGUUAUCAUUUUAAAAAAUAUGCACCAAUAUACAAUUUCCUUUCCAAAAAAGAGAAAACCAGUGACUACAUCGUCUACUCAAUAAAGUCUUGCAACUAAUUUCACAUCAGAAAAAAUUCACGUGUCUUAUAGCUGGUCAGUGUUUGGUGCAACUUAAUUCGUAAUCAUGAAAUCUCUAUACAAAAAUUCCUCUAGCCCAUUUCCAAUAUAAAUUUAAUGUAAUGAUGCUAUAGCACCACACUUUGGUCCAACCUAUAGCACAACUGAGCGAUCCUUUAACCAUGCAGUUAUUAUCGACUUAAUCUAAUUAACUUUCCCUGUCACGUUAACGGGUUGUCCCCUGUAAUGGAUGCACAUGAGUUAUCCAUCUUGGCUACGUUUGUGGUCAUCUACAUGACAAGAAGUUUCUGCCUCUUCAACUCUUGUGGCAUGGACAUCGUCACCUUCCUUCCCAGAGAUAGAUUUGUUCAAUCGUCACAAGAUUUCAAAGAUAUUUGUAAAUGUUCUUACACGUGGACAUUAAUAACUUUCUAUCAUUUUCUUCCUCCACUGGACAUGAUCCUCCUUAUUGGACCAAUACCAUAAAGGGAUCUUACUAGGUUGAGAACUUUCCUUUAAAGGAGCAAGUAAGUUAUCGGUAUUCACAUAUACCUCGUAGGAACGAAAUUGACUUCGCAAAGUCAUAACUCUAUAGUUUGAGUUCUUGUUCAUACUCCAUAUAUAUUUUCUCUAAUAUCGUUACUUGAAUCGAAAAAUGGUUUUCUUAAAACUUCAUUUGUCAUUCAUGUUGAUCAUCAAAAUAUCUUAUCAAUAUUUGCGACUAUCUUUCCAGCCCAUGCUGUACUAGAUACAAUUAUCAAAUAUAACUAUUUGCACUGAAUACUGUAUUGGAUAACAUUCGUGCCAACUUAUUUCAAGUACUCGAACUCUCUUGAUAGUCCAUCUUUUUACCACGGUAUGUUUCAGUCUCACAGCUUAACGUCAUACUCAAUCUAUAACUUUUAACAAUCCGCGCACAAUCGUAAAGCAUACAGACGUAAAAUCUCAUACGUUAUGCAGAAUGCAUAUCAAUACAAAAAUCAUAGUGCGGGAUCCCUCGAAUUCCCACACAUUUUACCCAGACUGUAAUCAAUAAAUAUGUAUUGGUGUGCCGAGUCUCAUACUCAACCUCUUAUUAUGUUGGUUCAUUAAGCAUUAAGCCUUAUUCUCUCGCAAUAGCAGAAAUUCAUACACAGACUAUCACCAUUAACAAGUUUUACAUCAUGCAGUGCCACUAUCACACUUAUACUGAGUGCACUUGGAUUAUGCAUGCUUACGUUAUAGUUACACUUUACCACCACGCAAUCACUAAUAAUAGCUAUUCACUUCAAGAAGCAUUAAGCUGAGAACCGUAUAAGCUCUUUCCUCAAAAUUCUUUCACCACCAAACCGAAUAUCCUAGACGUGGCUAAACUAUUAUACUUCUUACUUUCCCGCUUAAUUCUUUCCUUUUCCUGAUCACACUCAUAAUAUAGAGUUUUAUCCACAAUCCAUGAUAUUAAAUUUGCGUUUAGGCAAAACUCAUAUCUUUAGGUCACUUUGCCAUCCACACGGAUUCUCAACGUUCAAAAAUAUGACUAAACCCAAUCUUCUUAAGAAAAGCAAUUCGGCAAGAAUUUCAUUGAAAAUAAAGUUAUCCCAAAAUUUAUAACUUGUCGGACUCAACUACAAUUAAUAUACACAGCAUCCCACAUACUCAAGGCCACUCUUAGCUUCGCAUAUAUAAUUCAAACUUCCAAGUCAAUUGUAUCGUCUAGAGGAGGAUACGCGUGCCCUAGCCGUGGCGAAAGAAACAUCCCAUGUUUAAACUCAAUUCAACUUAACACACGAAUAAGGAAUGAAAGAAUGGAAAAUACCCUGGAUAUUCAGUAGCCUCAAGGUUAUAAGUAUGGACGUGUACAUACCCAUAAACAAAGACUCUAUCAAAUAUUGCUCCAUGACCCGGGACUUAAAGCCUAAGUUCUGAUACCAAUUUUGUCACAUCCUAAAAUACCCCCUAGAUGUGACUGACACCCAACUAACACUACCUGCCCGGCGAACCAGCUUAUACCAUACACUUAGCAUUUAUUCAAAACUCAACCUCUUAUAAAUGCAAGUUCCUAACAUUUCAAUAAUUAAAUGUGAAUGAUGAAUAAUCCAAAUUGUUUCAUAAAUAUUUAUGUAUAAUAAUAACCAAAAUGGAGGAAUAACACUUUAGCCCAAAUACCACUCUAGACCAUGGAGCAUCUAAGAGAAUUAUAAAAGACUCAAGAUCGGGUGAGUAAACCCCAAAAUAAAAGACAUUAUAUAAAUAAAUAAUAAAGACUCUUUUGGUAGCCUCCACGAACAAUGUUGUGGCUCACCUCAAUAAUUAGAUGAACUCUAGCGAACUCGUCAGCUACUAGCUAUGUCGUCACGAAUAGUAUCUGCAUCGACAUGCAGGUAAGGAGUGAGUUAUACUUGAAUAUAACCCAGUAAGAUCCUCGAUCCACCACUUUAAAUACCGCUAAAAUAAGUGUCAGAAAAUACAAACACACCAAAUCGAACAUGAUAUAUAAUACAUACGACAAUUAUACAACAAUGCAAUAAUAUGUAUCAAUAGAGUUAACAAAUAUUAACCAAUAUGAAUACACAUAUCUCAACACAAUACACACCAAGGACUUCUCAUAAAUGGCGGUGAAGCAAAUUAACUAACACUCCGACGAGUCCAUGACGGCACCACAAUGCCUCAAAUAUAUGACGGAGCAUACACAAUACCCACUGAAGCAUACACAAUGCCACAAUAAUAUCAAGAAGCAUACACAAUGCUCCAACAUAAUCACACACAGUCGUAUCAAACCAUCAAAUCCAACAUCAUGGCUCACAGCCGUAUCAAACUAUCAAACCAUCAAAUCUAACAUCAUGGCUCACAACCGUAACACACCAUCAAACCCAAUGCCAUGGCUCACAGCCGUAUCACACCAUUAAAUAAUUUAUACAAUAAUUUUUAGUAUUUUUCAUAAAAUAAUAUAUUUGCGGCUAGUCAAAGAAUACCGAUUCUACCAAGCACACACUUAUCCCAACACAUGGACCAGGAAGACGAAACACAUUUUCACAAUGGAUUUUGGAAAAGCAAGCAUCAAAAUAUAGAGUCUCACUUAUCUCUCAAAUAACAAGUCCUCCAACCUUGCGACGUUAAAAAACCAACCAAACUGUCUCCAAGGACCUCAAUCUAUAAAAAUAUUGCUUAACGAUGUCAAUUACGCUAGUCGGAGUUAUUUCAUAAUUUGUGGAAUGUCAAAUAAAAGUCAAUUCCCUUUAAUAUGGUCAAAUCCCCGCGUGUUCGAGUUACCCAUAGUUGAAGAAUCCAAAUCUAUUUUCAAGUUUCAAUUUUUAUGUAAUUGAUGGGUCAGCUCUCAAUUCUGCUAUACUUUAAGCUUAGAGCUAAGUCUCAAUAUUCUAUACCUUAAUAUAUGAGUUUAAAGGUAAUUUCACAUAUUUCAAUAUCAGAAAUUACACCCAAUAUCCAAUAAACAAUUCAUGUUUAAUAGUAUUCAUGUUCUAAAGUAAUAAUUAUAACAUAAAAAGUACUCAAAUACCUUAUGACAUGCCGACUGCACAACUGAAAUAGGAGUUUUUCAGUUCCUUUUCAUUGAUCACUGACGCAACAUAGAUUGGUCCUUAUUACCCCAAAUUCUACUUAGUUGAUGAUGAUACCAAGUGUUAUACAAGUAGCAUCUAUAGUCUUUUUUCCAUUUCAGUUUCUCCGUCUAAUGAUUUUCGAUAAUUCCCUUUUUGUGUGGUUUUAGUUUCGUAGGAACCAAGACCUUAUUUACUCUUCUU